AUAAAAUAACCAUUUUAUAACAUAAAACAUGAUUAUAUACAACAAUUCAAAGAACAUACCCAACCUUCUAUACAACAUUCUUUAAGAAAUUGUUAUCAUUCUUCAAGAAUAUACAAAAAAAAAUUAUAAUAUAUGCUACAUUCUUAAAGAAUUUGUCAGCAUUCUUGAAGAUUUUGUCUUUGUGUUUUGAUGGUUUUUCCAUGCAUCUAUAUUUACCUCUUCACGCUUGACCCUAAACACACAAAUCAUUUAAUUAAAGCACACAAAAAUACAUGAUAUAUCAUAUGAUUCAAAAUAUUUCAAGAACGUACGUUAGAUAGCACCAGAAGCAAUAAGCAAAUUUUAUAAGCCCAAAACUUCUUUUGUAUGUUCUAGAGCAUAAGAAGCCUAACAUGCUAACUAACCAUUCUACCAACAACAUAAACCUAAUGAUAAUGUUAAUAAGCUUAAGUUAGAAAGAAAAAACUUAGAUCCAUACGAAAUUUGGGUAAAAACUAGGUUAGGAGUAAGAAUAAAAUUUUGUGACAAUGCCAACCAUAAACCGAAUUCUAGGGAUUUUGAUAUAGAUUCUUGAAAGAAUGCAAUAAUAAAAUAAAAUACAAAAAAAACCCUACUAGAAGAACAAAUUAAGCAUACAUUCUUAUACAUUAAGAAGUUUUGACAACUAAAAAUCAAAUUUUCCAUAAUGUUGGUAGCAUAAUUAACCAUAACCAACAUACAUGAAAAAAAGAUAUACUCCACUAAUUAAGUUAAAAUUAAAAAAAUAAAAUAAAAAUAAAUAAGCACUAACAUAAAAGAGGUUAUAUGUAUGAAUAUGAAAAAGAUUUGUACAUACUCAUUAAAUAUGAAUAUGAAAAAAAGAUAAAAAGAGUAUAUGAAUCACAUACAUAUACUAUGAGAAUAUGGUGAGUCCACACAGUAUGAUUGGCAAGGGUGUUGGGCAACGAUCGUGGCCUGACGGUGGAGAGGAGUCAUUGGAGAUAGACAUCCCAUCUCCAUCUCUUCAAUUUGCAGGUGGAUAGAAAAAAACGAAAAAACAGGGAAAGAGAGAAUAAUGUAAGUUUAAUUGUGCUCUGAACUUGGUGAUUUUUUU
rnacentral:lncRNA from 1 species